UCACACUGCUGCAACAAAUUUCCACACUUCAUUUUUCUUACAUAUCCCGACAGAUUCGGAGUGAAAAAUGGCAGCAUCAGAUGGGUUUCCUGCCAGUUUCUAUGGGGAACCAGGAGUUUUAGGCAUGCUUUCAAAUGGGAUCAGUGCAUUCCUUGUACUUUUACAGAACUUCUAUACAGCUCACAAUGGCAAAGCUCCAGUUGGAAUAGAGAACAUUCUUGCAGGUGUACAUCUCAUCCUGAUUGGUGGGGUUUGCCAGUUGGUGGCUGGACUGCUCUCCUUCCGUAAAUACGACCAUCUGAGCGGUACUGCUUUCAUUGGCUAUGCUGCUCUUUGGGGCAGUUAUGGUGCAACCAGAAUCUACUAUGGUGCCUUGUUUGAAAAUUCAAG